CUUCUUCACACAAUGCCUCCUCCUCCUUCGCUUUCUACUACAAAGUAACCUUAACCAAGCUCACACACUCUCUCGUUCGUUCGUGCGUCUGUUAUCUUCGUUUUAAUCUUCACUCUGUUUUUGCGAAUUUGUUGCUUUGAAGGUUCAAUUCUGAUCCCAACGAUCCGGUUCUAGAGAGAAGCAGUAGCUAGAGUUUCAGAGAGAGCUCUAUUUCCAGCGCUUCCAAUACUCUUCCUCGCUCACCAAUGGAGACAGUGAUUCAUCGGAGGAUGAUGAGAGAUCAGAUCGGGUAGCAUAUAGUUCUCUGCAGUUUCUCGUUACCAUCAGAUGAAGUUCAAGGAACUGAUGGAGACGUUGCGUAUAGAGGUGGUGGAAGGUGGGUUAAUCAGAGAUUUCCUUGAAUUGGGUAGCAAUGAUUUCAAGGCUUUGAUUCAGGUAGAAGAUUCGGGUGCUAAAGGAACGCCUCAAGGAAACUACUAAUAUAAUUCUGUCUUGAUGCAUAUUUGAACCUUGGAAACGUGUAGAAGUUAAUGUGUUAUGCAUGACUGGUUGGAUGCAACUGAUACUUCAUACAUGGCCAAACUAUGGCAUGGUUAAUGUGUCUGGUCACAUUUGGAAGUGAGGACAUCCAUAUAUUACAUGUAUGUAUGGCAAUGUUGCGUGCACAUUCAAUGUUGUUAUCCCAUCAACAAGGCACUGGCACUCCAGGAAUAUGUAUAAAAGUAGGCCUUACAGUUACAGGUGAUCUAAGAUUUCACAUAACAAGAGGGUUUCAAUAUCCUCCUAGUGUGGUAGUGCUCAAAGUAAUGUACACCACCAGAAAGCCAACACCCUUGCGCUUAUUAAGACCUUAUAGACUUUCUUGUAGUUUGUGGCGGCAACACCACGAAGGGAAAGUAGAUUCUUCUUCCACUCCCUAAAAGUAUUUCACGGGUAUUCGAAUUUGCGGUCGGCAGAAUGCCUCGUUUUUCUCAAAUAUUGGAGUUAUUUACGCAUCAUGAAAAUAGCUAGUAUUUUGCUAUGCAUUUUAAUGAUCAUUCCGUCAGCUAAUGCUGUUGACGCUGUCAAAACUUGUGCUUGCUUGCUUAAGGAAUGCAGGAUAGAACUGGCUAGGUGUCUUUCAAACCCAUCAUGUGCUGCCAAUUAUUGAACAG